UGUUGGAAUAUUUUAUAUUAUUCAAUUAUUAUAUUUCAAUAAUUAUUAUGUGGGCAUAUAUAUUUAUAUUAAUUAUAUUAGCUAUUUAUCAAUUAAGAGCCUAAAUUGAUUAAAUGAUCAAAUAAAGUUAAAAGGCUAUUAGAUUUCUAUUUAGAAUUAAUUAAUUAAUUAUUUAAUUAGUUAGAUAUGGACUCAAAUGGGUGGAUGUCAGGAUGGCCCAUUUCGGGAUAAUGGGAACCCUAAUGGACCAUCACCCUAUAUAAGGCUAUGGUCCCCAAUACACCGUACGU
rnacentral:lncRNA from 1 species